rnacentral:rRNA from 1 species
CCUACGGGAGGCAGCAGUGAGGAAUAUUGGUCAAUGGACGAGAGUCUGAACCAGCCAAGUAGCGUGAAGGAUGACUGCCCUAUGGGUGGUAAACUUCUUUUAUAUGGGAAUAAAAUGUUACACGUGUGGGAUUUUGUAUGUACCUUAUGAAUAAGGAUCGGCUCACCCCGUGCCAGCAGCCGCGGUAAUACGGAGGAUCCGGGCGUUAAGCGGAUUUAUUGGGUUUAAAGGGAGCGUAGGUGGAUUGUUAAGUCAGUUGUGAAAGUUUGCGGCUCAACCGUAGAAUUGCAGUUGAAACUGGCAGUCUAGAGUACAGUAGAGGUGGGUAGAAUUCGUGGUGUAGCGGUGAAAUGCUUAGAGAUCACGAAGAACUCCGAUUGCGAAGGCAGCUCACUGGAC